rnacentral:rRNA from 1 species
AGCGAACGCUGGCGGCAGGCCUAACACAUGCAAGUCGAGCGCUCGUAGCAAUACGAGAGCGGCAGACGGGAGAGUAACACGUGGGAACGUACCCUUUGGUUCGGAACAACACAGGGAAACUUGUGCUAAUACCGAAUAAGCCCUUACGGGGAAGAUUUAUCGCCGAAGGAUCGGCCCGCGUCUGAUUAGCUAGUUGGUGGGGUAAUGGCUCACCAAGGCGACGAUCAGUAGCUGGCUGAGAGGAUGACCAGCCUCAUUGGGACUGAGACACGGCCCAAACUCCUACGGGAGGCAGCAGUGGGGAAUAUUGGACAAUGGGCGCAAGCCUGAUCCAGCCAUGCCGCGUGGAUGAUG